rnacentral:tRNA from 1 species
GGGGUUGUGGCUCAGUGGUAAAAGUGUUCACCUAGCAUGUGUGAGGCCUUGGGUUCAAUCCUCAGCACCACA